rnacentral:ncRNA from 1 species
ACAUAGGUUCCGCAAGGAUUAAUAGGGAAGUAAAAAACACGGUCCCGCCGCUGUAUGGGAGGAGCUGCAUUUUGACAGAUCACUGGGAAACCGGGAAGAUAAAGUGCCGCAAGGAGCCCUGAGUCAGAAGACCUGCCCUGUACGG